UACGAAGGGGGCUAGCGUUGUUCGGAUUUACUGGGCGUAAAGCGCACGUAGGCGGAUUGUUAAGUCAGGGGUGAAAUCCUGGAGCUCAACUCCAGAACUGCCUUUGAUACUGGCAAUCUAGAGUCCGGAAGAGGUGAGUGGAACUCCUAGUGUAGAGGUGGAAUUCGUAGAUAUUAGGAAGAACACCAGUGGCGAAGGCGGCUCACUGGUCCGGUACUGACGCUGAGGUGCGAAAGCGUGGGGGAGCAAACAGG
rnacentral:rRNA from 1 species